rnacentral:lncRNA from 1 species
UGGCCUUUCCACGCUAGUCUUUUCUAAUGUAAGCUGUCUUUUUUGGUCUACCAUAAUAGAUGAAGUUUACCAGAAGAAUGAUUGAUCUUGAGGAGUGUCAUGCAGUAGCUUGCUUUCAAUCCACCGUAUACAACGGCAUGGCCGGAGGCAGAUCAUGCAUGAAGCUGGUAAGUUUUUCCAUUUUGUCCAUUUUGUUUUUUUUUUCUUUUGGGGAUAAAAGAAAAAGAAGAGAGAGAAAAUGCAUGCUACUUUUACUUUCCAUCAACACAAUUAUGCAUUCAAUAAAAUUAUCAUUAAAUCUUAGCUAUAUUUGAUUUCUUAUUAAAUGAUGCACAUAAAUUGUUGAGAAUUUCCCGCCCAUAUAUGAGCUUCUAAAAUUAUAUAUUGACCCAAAAAAUGUUGACCCAAAAUGUGUUUAUAUUCCAUUAGAGCAUAUAUGUCCUCAAUCUCCAUCCACAUUGACACCAAACUCCCAUUCCCUACUCUUUUGAGCAUUAACCCAUACAAUUGUUGUAUGUUUAUAAACGACAUCUUGACUUAAAAGGUUAACCUAUUAAGUUUAUGAUCUAUUAGAAUAUAUGUGUCCUCAAUAUUUCUCCUUGUAUUUUGAUGUGAGACUUUACUUUCACGCGAUACCUCAACGACCCUCGAACAAAUUUUAAGAAAUUAAUAUCAGUUUCGUGAAUUUGAUUAUUGACUUCAAAUUCUCCGCAUUUAACGAAAUCACCAAACCACAAACAAGACUUAUUUAAAAAUUAUGAAUAAUACGUCCCUCUAAGUAAUAAGACUUUUUUUUUUCUAAAUUCUGGCCGAAAAUAUCACAAACAAGACUUCGUCGGAAAACGCGCGGGCAACCACCUAGCUCCCAUUAUCUUCUCCGGCCAAACACCUCUAUCUUCCUUGCGAUUUAUUUGGUGUUCAAACUAUAUAAAAACACUCGAUCAUGAUAUUUUCCAUCACUCACCAAUUCAAUUUUAAUUCCCAUUGCAAUUGCAAUUGCAAUUUGGGUUAGAUCUGUUUUAGUGAAGCAAUACGACUCUAGUCCAGUUGAUUGGUAAUUUGAAAAGAUGGAUUAAUAUCCAAAUUUAAUUUGGGUGAUUUAUAUUUAAUUAAUUAAGGUUUGUUUUUAUUGUUGAUUAUGGUUAGUUAAGUUCAUGGAAUUGAAUUUGCAUUUGGAACUGCAAACAACCAUAUUUGCAGUGAUUCUUAUGGUAGACAUGCUAAGAAUCCAAUCACAUUGCUAGAUCGGUGCUGAGUAUCUUAAUUUAUGCGAAAAUUAUCCUUUUAUCAUCCUUUUAAGAAUAGGGGAGUAGAUAAUAUUUAGGCUACCAUCAACAUAAUAGCCUGUGCACAACCAAAUUAGGUUGAAGAAGAAUGAAGAAAUUAAAAUUUAGCUCCAAAAUGAGGGAAGAAAAGACCUCUAUUACUAUGGAAAAAUUUAAGUUACAGGCUUACAACCAAAAGUUUACAAAAGAAAAAGCUUACAUAAUAGAAAGUAGGAACAGGCUUGCAAUGGUAGUUGACUAGUUGUUAGUGAUUUGUUGAUUUUGUGUUGGCUUGGUGACUUGAGAUGUUGGGGGAUUUAUUUAUAGGUGACUAAAGAAAGAUAUAUAUGGGCCCAAUUGUAAAUUAGGGUUCACAUGACCUAAUUGAAAUAAAUGUUCAAAUUAGGGUUCACAUGAUCUAAUUAAAUGAAGUCAGAAAAGCCGAAAAUAAAUGUACUAGACUCGAGAGAAGCUUACACAUGUCCCGAGGCAGAAGACUUGUGGAGGUGACUCAUUUUGAGAAUUGAUUGAGAGAUUGAAUUGGUGGCUAGGAGGAGAAAACGAUAUGAGCAUUAUUCUAAUGACUAAAGGGUAUUUCUGAAAUUUUUCUAAAGACGUGUGCCUAGCAUGUGACUACUUAAUUUUCAGAAAACUCUAUAAAUACUCCUUCCAUUCCAUUAGGAAGAGACUUUUGGACUUUUUUUUACUUUGGACUUUUGGAGCUUGGACAUUCUCUCUCAACCCGAAGCACUCAAGAAGACUCUGAAUCCCUGCUACUCUAACAAGGUUUUCGAAUUAUAGGAGUCUCUUUCAACUCGAAGCACUCAAGAAGACUUUUGGAAUCCCUGCUACCCUAACAAGGUUUUCGGAUUCUAAGAGUUUUGCCACAUGUCAUUGGAGUAAUCGCUCACCUGUUCUUCUCCCCUCUUUAAUCCAUUAAUCAAUUACGUGCUCUUCGUGAAUUUCUCUUCUCCUCAGCCAACACGAAACUCUAACAUUAGCAAGUCACGAUUUCCUUGCCCAUGAUAUAGAAGCUCAAGGACGUAGAGGUUAGAAGGUUCAAGAACUCUAAAUUAGUGGUAAGGAUUGAUAGAAAAGUGAAAGUUCUAGAUAAUGGUGGAAGGGUCAAGAAAUGAUAUCAAGUACAAGUAUGUUUUACAAGGUUCUAGCUAGAUAUUGGAACUCUCAAAUACAUUAAUCCUCACUACAUCCAUCAAAAAUAAAAUAUUUAAAUUAAUGAAUAAUUACUAAAAGUUUCCUUCAAAAUUGUAUAUAUGGAAAUGAUCCAUAUCAAGUAGUUAUAGAUCAAAAUUGGGCAAUAUACCAUCUAUAUCAUACAAUUUAGGAGUUAAAUGCUUUCUAGGUCACUAUACUAUACGUCGGCUUACAAAUGAGUCACUGAACUUUUUUUUCUUACAAUCAACUCACUAAAUUUAGUUUACUAACACACUGUUACAAAAACCGUUAAGUCAACUUUGACUUAACAGAAAUGAUGACGUGACAGCUGACUUGUCUAAAAAAAAGCCUAUGUGGCAGUUAGUAUGUGAUGUGGCAGUGAUGAUGUGGAUUUGGAGGAAAAUUUUGAUAAAAAAAUGGAAAAAAAUAUUUUAAAGUAUAAUAUAAAUUAUAAAAAUUAGCAAAAAAAACACGAAAAUAAAUAAAUAAAAAUAAUUAUUUUUAAUAAAAAUUAAAAAAAAGCAGUUUUUUUUAAUUUUUAUUAAAAAAAUUAAAACGCAUUUUUUUUGAUAAAAAUAAUUGGUUUUUUUUAAAAAAAAUUAAAACGAAUUUUUUUUUUAAAAAAUAAAUAUUUUUAAUAAUAAAAAAAGAAUGCAGUUUUCUUUAAUUAAAAAAAUGCAGUUUUUUAAAAAACAGAGUUUUUUAAUAAAAGAAAAUUUUAAUAAAAAACAGCGUUUUUUUUAAAAAAACAACGUUUUUUUUUUAAAAAACAGCAUUAUUUUAAUAAAAAAUAAUAGCGUUUUAGUAGCAUUUUUAAAAAACAGCAUUAUUUUAAUAAUAGCGUUUUAAAAAAACAGCAUUAUUUUAAUAAAAAAUAACAGCAUUUUUAUUUUAAUAAAAAAACAGCAUUAUUUUAAAAAAACAGUUUAAAAACAGCGUUUUUUUAAUAAAAAAACAACAGUUUAUAAAAAACAGUUUUAUUUUUUUUUAAUAAAAAAUAACAGCAUUUUUAUUUUAAUAAAAAAACAGCAUUAUUUAAAAAAAACAGUUUAAAAAACAGCGUUUUUUUAAUAAAAAAAAAUAAAAAAAUGCAUUUUUUUUUAUUUUUAUUAAAAAAAACUGCAUUUUAUAUAAAAAAAUAAUUUUAUUAAAAAAACUGCAUUUUUUUAUUAAAAAUAUUUAUUUUUUUUUAAAAAAUUGCGUUUUUAAUUUUUUUUUUAAAAAAUAAAAAAAACCAAUUAUUUUUAUUAAAAAGAAUGCGUUUUAAUUUUUUUUAAUAAAAAUUUAAAAAAAAACUGCUUUUUUUAAUUUUUAUUAAAAAUAAUUAUUUUUAUUUAUUUAUUUUCUUGUUUUUUUUGCUAAUUUUUAUAAUUUAUAUUAUACUUUAAAAUAUUUUUUUCCAUUUUUUCAUCAAAAUUUUCCUCCAAAUCCACAUCAUCACUGCCACAUCACAUACUAACUGCCACAUAGGCUUUUUUUUAGACAAGUCAGCUGCCACAUCAUCAUUUCCGUUAAGUCAACUUUGACUUAACGGUUUUUGUAACGGUGUGUUAGUAAACUAAAGUUCAGUGAGUUGACUGUAAGAAAAAAAAGUUCAGUGACCCACUUGUAAGUCGACCUAUAGUACAGUGACUUAGAAAGCAUUUAACCCUAAAAUUUAGGAAUGAACAGACAUGAAUAAAAAUACAAAUUCGUUGUUCGCUACUAUUAGUAGCAGACUAAUUUUUUUGUUAGUAACAUACGAAUUCGGUCCAAUGUACCCCCCCCCCUCGUGCCAACGCAAAUUUUAAAUAUAAUGGUCCACUACAAUUAGUAGCGGGCAAUAUUUUAAACAGUAGUCAGUGCAAAUAUAUAUAAUAAAGUUGAGAUGGGUUGAAUGUUUAUAUACCCACUUGUCAAUGCAAAUAUAUAUAUAUAUAUAAUAGAGCGGCUCAAAUUCCAAGGCUUCAACAUUCAACGACCUCAAAUCAAUUUAGGUUUCAACAUCCAACGAUCUAAAAUCAUUUAGGUUUCAACAUCCGACGGCCAAGAAUUUAUCUCUCAAAAAUUCAAAUCCACAUCCAUCAUCUCACUCUCUCACUCUCGGUUCUCCCUCCUCACCCACAAACUAGGGUUUCUUCACCUCUUUGUCUCUACUUCUUUUGCUUCAAUGGCUAAUACAAGGGGUGCAGGAAAAAAAAAGGAGUUGUUAUAACAAGCAAACAAUAAUUUUUAAUUGUCAAGUUACUAUUUAAAAAGUUACAAUCAAUCAAAAAGACUUAUAAAUAAUAAAAAAUAAAUUUUGAAAUUUAGUUAAACUAAAUUUAGGUUUUUAGUUUAGUGUGUGUCCAUAUUCAGUGCUUCAUUUUUUUGUGUUCAUGAUUUAUUUUUAUUUUUUUUGAAUUAUACAGUGCCUUCAGGCACGGGUUAUCGCUAGUAUAUAUAAUAAAAUAGGAUAUGGUUAACAUUUCUAGAGUCAAGUCAAAAUUAGAUGCAUAAGUCAAAAAUUGAAAUUGCAAACAUUAAAAUUGGAUAUGAAUGUAUGGCUUAAGGUUUAAGGUUUAUUGUCUUGAGUUUAGGGUUUAUUCUUUAGGGUUUAGAGUUUAGGAUUUAGGUUGGGUUUAGUUUAUAGGAUUUAAGGCUUAGUUUUUAGGGUUUAGUUUUUGAGGUUUAGGGUUUAUUGUAGAGUUUGUUUAUUAGUUACUUUAAUAUAUUGAAUAUGCAAGAGUNNNNNNNNNNNNNNNNNNNNNNNNNNNNNNNNNNNNNNNNNNNNNNNNNNNNNNNNNNNNNNNNNNNNNNNNNNNNNNNNNNNNNNNNNNNNNNNNNNNNCUAGUAAUACUAGCAUAUGGUUCAAUUUAUUAUUAUUAUUGUAUAGUUAAAAUGAGGGCAUAUGGUAAUUAUUAUGUCCACUAGUAUACUUAAUAGAUAACAGGACUAAUUUUUAAAUCUUGACCGUUCGAGAUUGGAAUGGACGGUAUAGAAUUUAUUUGCCCAAAAUGAGUCAUAAUAAGAACUUGCUAUGAAUCAGAUGCGGUAUAUAUAUAGUGAUAAGUUAAACAUCGCAUUAGUUAAUUAAUUAGAUGCAAAAAAAAUAUGGCAACCACUGAUGGCACGCACUAUAUAAAAAAAAUAGGCUUUUCGAGACAGAUACAAAACCAUCUUCAAAACCUUAAAACUGUUGCAAAAGGUAUUUGACGUGUCACAUAUGUAAGGGUCAUAUUUGUCGUCGCUAAUACUUUUGGAGACCGUUACUAAUAGUCCAUGAUCUUCUAUAGUUGCAUUAAUGACGGACUUCUACCUUCUACCGUCACCAAAGCUACUUUGCGCGAAUUUGACAUUUCCCUCCUUCAUAGUUGUGAUGGUCAAAAACCUCGCCAAUGAUCAAAUAAUAUAAUUAACAUACAUAUAUAAUAUAUAAUAUUUGUUUUUGAUCAUCUACAUGUUCCUAUACAUGCAUCCACCAAAAAUAUACCAACAAUUAAAAAAUAAUAAUAAAUCAAAUUUAUAGUAAAUAUAUAAAUUUGGACCCCAAGAGGCGGCCCAUUUUUAUGGAAAGGAGAGGACUUAGUCAAAGCUAGGUUCGAACCUAUAAUAAAAAAAAACUUUACAAUGUUUAAUUAACAAAAAAUAAUAGUUUAUACUACAAUAUUCCAUAAAAAAAAAUUUAAUACUACUCUUCUAAAGCCUAAUAAUUGUAAAAUCAUUCUUACAAUAUUCCAUCAAAAAACAACAAAAUAUCAAAGUCUUCAAAGGCCAUAAACCCAAGUCUUAAAGUGAUGCAAGCUCUCAUACAUUUUCAAUAUCCUGCACAAUUAAAAAACCAAAUAAAUAUAGAAUUGAAUCAAAACAAUGAUAUAAGAGAUUAAUUUCUAUAUUUAAAUUACAAUAAAUUUUUUGAAAAAUAGUAACCAUGUACAUUUGAGUAGGUUAAAUUAAAAAAUGCAAUGAAUGAUGCAUCACUUAUAUGAUGAACUAAACAACUGUAGAGAGAGUAUAAAAUGAUCNNNNNNNNNNNNNNNNNNNNNNNNNNNNNNNNNNNNNNNNNNNNNNNNNNNNNNNNNNNNNNNNNNNNNNNNNNNNNNNNNNNNNNNNNNNNNNNNNNNNUCUCCCUCCUCACCCACAAACUAGGGUUUCUUCACCUCUUUGUCUCUACUUCUUUUGCUUCAAUGGCUAAUACAAGGGGUGCAGGAAAAAAAAAGGAGUUGUUAUAACAAGCAAACAAUAAUUUUUAAUUGUCAAGUUACUAUUUAAAAAGUUACAAUCAAUCAAAAAGACUUAUAAAUAAUAAAAAAUAAAUUUUGAAAUUUAGUUAAACUAAAUUUAGGUUUUUAGUUUAGUGUGUGUCCAUAUUCAGUGCUUCAUUUUUUUGUGUUCAUGAUUUAUUUUUAUUUUUUUUGAAUUAUACAGUGCCUUCAGGCACGGGUUAUCGCUAGUAUAUAUAAUAAAAUAGGAUAUGGUUAACAUUUCUAGAGUCAAGUCAAAAUUAGAUGCAUAAGUCAAAAAUUGAAAUUGCAAACAUUAAAAUUGGAUAUGAAUGUAUGGCUUAAGGUUUAAGGUUUAUUGUCUUGAGUUUAGGGUUUAUUCUUUAGGGUUUAGAGUUUAGGAUUUAGGUUGGGUUUAGUUUAUAGGAUUUAAGGCUUAGUUUUUAGGGUUUAGUUUUUGAGGUUUAGGGUUUAUUGUAGAGUUUGUUUAUUAGUUACUUUAAUAUAUUGAAUAUGCAAGAGUAUUGAAUAUAUAUAUAUAUAUAUAUAUAUAUAUAUAUAUAUAUAUAUAUAUAUAUAUAUAUAUAUAUAUAUAUAUAUANNNNNNNNNNNNNNNNNNNNNNNNNNNNNNNNNNNNNNNNNNNNNNNNNNNNNNNNNNNNNNNNNNNNNNNNNNNNNNNNNNNNNNNNNNNNNNNNNNNNCGUCGCUAAUACUUUUGGAGACCGUUACUAAUAGUCCAUGAUCUUCUAUAGUUGCAUUAAUGACGGACUUCUACCUUCUACCGUCACCAAAGCUACUUUGCGCGAAUUUGACAUUUCCCUCCUUCAUAGUUGUGAUGGUCAAAAACCUCGCCAAUGAUCAAAUAAUAUAAUUAACAUACAUAUAUAAUAUAUAAUAUUUGUUUUUGAUCAUCUACAUGUUCCUAUACAUGCAUCCACCAAAAAUAUACCAACAAUUAAAAAAUAAUAAUAAAUCAAAUUUAUAGUAAAUAUAUAAAUUUGGACCCCAAGAGGAGGCCCAUUUUUAUAAAAAAGAGAGGACUUAGUCAAGGCUAGGUUCGAAUCAACAAUAAAAAAAACUUAGUAUAUAUAUAUAUAUAUAUAUAUAUAUAUAUAUAUAUAUAUAUCUUACAACGUUUAAUUAACAAAAAAUAGUAGUUUAUACUACAAUAUUCCAUAAAAAAAUUAAUACUCUUCUAAAGCCUAACAAUCGUAAAAUCAUUCUUACAAUAUUCCAUCAAAAAACAACAAAAUAUCAAAGUCUUCAAAGGCCAUAAACCCGAGUCUUAAAGUGAUACAAGCUCUCAUACAUUUUCAAUAUCCUGCACAAUUAAAAAACCAAAUAAAUAUAGAAUUGAGUCAAAACAAUGAUAUAAGAGAUUAAUUUCUAUAUUUAAAUUACAAUAAAUUUUCUGAAAAAUAGUAACCAUGUACAUUUGAGUAGGUUAAAUUAAAAAAUGCAAUGAAUGAUGCAUCACUUAUAUGAUGAACUAAACAACUGUAGAGAGAGUAUAAAAUGAUCCCAAGUUGAUGCUUUAUAAUAUACGCCAUUUAAUUACAAUUCUUUGUUAAAAAGCAUGUUAUGACACUUACAUUAUGAACCUAAAACUAAUGGAACUAUUAAAAAUCCUUGGAAACUUUAAACUAAGUUGACAAUUUUAAAGGGAAAAAUAAAUUAACAAAUUGCUAUUUUAUUGUUACAUCUAUCUAACAGAAAUAUAGAAGAAAAAUUCACCAACAAAACCAUUAAGGACUUCUUUGGUGAACUAACAUCGAAGGGGCUCGUACUAGAUAAUUUUUUAAUUUUCCAAUUUUCCAAUUUUCAAGUGUAAUAAAUAAAUAAAUAAGAAUCGAGUCAAAUAGACUCAAAACGAACCUUGGAGAUUUUUCAGUUUAUUUCUUCAAAUAAGUCAUAUUAUGCACAGGAACAUACAGAUACAUUUUAGAGAAACAGCUAAAAGUUCAUUCACUUCAUACAUGCUAACAAAAAUAAGGAAUCCAGCAAUCAGAAACCAAAAGAAAAAAGUGAUCAAAUAAAUUAAAGCAGACUAAGAUAUAAUCAUCAAGAUCUAAUAUAUAUCAAGAUCACCAAAAACAAAAAAUGUUAUCCCCAAUAAUAUAUUUAACUAACCCAACUCUCAAUUACAUAAUGCAGAUCAAGUAUUAUAAACCUACUCAAGAACCCACAGGAAAAUUAUUAAAUAGCAGAUAGCAGUGAUUAGUUAUAUAUAUAUAUAUAUAUAGUUCGGCUCUCUCUAGCGAACCGGAGGGAGCGAACUAAGAGCGAACCGGCCAUAGCGACGGUUUUUUCCGUCGCUAUAGCAUAGCAUAAAAAACCGGCUUUCUGUGCUAUAGCGACGAAAAAAACAGUCGUUAUAGUCGGUUCGUUCUUAGUUCGCUCCUUUCUGUUCGCUGGAGAAGCGGACUGUAUAUAUAUAUAUAUAUAUAUAUAUAUAUGGUCCGGAUCAAGUGCAUACCCUUUAUCUUACUCACCCGUGCUCACCCCCCCUUUAGCUGCGGACCCGGUCAUACCACCGUCGUCUAUACUUUUAGCGACGCUAUAUGUUGUCCGUUGCUAAAAGUAUAAACGACGGUUGUAUGACCGAACUGUCGCCGGAUCCGUCGCUAAAGGGGGGGUGAGCACGGGUGAGUAAGAUAAGGGUAUGCACUUGAUCCANNNNNNNNNNNNNNNNNNNNNNNNNNNNNNNNNNNNNNNNNNNNNNNNNNNNNNNNNNNNNNNNNNNNNNNNNNNNNNNNNNNNNNNNNNNNNNNNNNNNUUUCCCUUCCCAUUCUCUCUCCUCGCGUGUUUUGUGUUUCGGCUGAGACCCUCGUUUCUUCUCAACUUGAAAUCCCUUCUGUAGAAAACUUCCUCCAAAUCUUCCAUGGAGGUAGAAAUCUAAAGAGUGAUCGUGUCCUUCAAUCAAACAUCGCCAGAAAACCCUCGCUGCUAAAAUCGAUUCCUCUCCAACAACGCAGCUGCAAAAAUCGAAGAAAGAGAAAGCCAAGCCCUAGAAAGGAAAAGCCCUAUAAUCGAUUCGGUAAGGCCCUAGAUUCAAACAUCUUCAAAGAGAAAGGCGUUCCUUCUCCAACUUUAGGGAUUUCAAUUUGGGAGUUCUAUUGUACAAAUAUCUUCAAGGUUUUAGGGAUUUCAUAUAUUACGCCUUGCAUUCUAUCGAAAUUUAUUAAAAUUAUGCAUUUCAAGAGUUGAGAUUCUCAUUUUUUUUUCUAGUUUACAUGCUCCUUGAGCCAUUAAUUUCAGUUCUGUUUUGAAUUUUCAAACUGCUUUCAACUUUUUCCUACUUCAGACGAAUCUUCUGAAUUUUUGACUGCUUUCAACUUUUUCCUACCUCAUGAAUUUUCAAACUGUUUUGAGCCAUUAAUUCUCAUUUUGAAUCUAGGGCCUUACCGAAUCGAUUAUAGGGCUUUUCCUUUCUAGGGCUUGGCUUUCUCCUUAUUCAAUUUUUGUAGCUGCGUUGUUGGAGGGGAAUCGAUUUUGGUAACGAGGGUUUUCUGGCGAUGUUUGAUUGAAGGACACGAUCACUCUUUAGAUUUCUACCUCCAUGGAAGAUUUGGAGAAAGUUUUCUACAGAAAGGAUUUCAAGUUGGAGAAGAAACGAGAGUCUUAGCCGAAACACAAAACACGCGAGGAGAGAGAAUGGGAAGGAAAAAAAAACACGGAGCCCUUUUUUAUACUCAUGCUCUUUAAGGAUGUCAUGCUCUUUAAGUGUCCUGCUCUUGAACCGCACCGUGUGUGUGUGUAUAUAUAUAUAUAUAUAUAUAUAUAUAUAUAUAUAUAUAUAUAUAUAUAUAUAUAUGUGUGUGUGUGUGUGUGUGUGUGUGUGUAUCAGAGCCAAGUUUGUUUGUUUCUAGUUGCCAGUUAAAUCUUCAGUAAUCUGUUCAUCUAUACUAUUUUCAAAAUUCAUCUUUUAUUCUUAAUCAGAAGUCACCUAGCUUACUGUAGUCCACCCUUCAUCAUGUCUACCCUUGUAAGUCUAUUGUUCGAGCAGUGUCGGGUAUUAGAUUAUGGGUAUGAGUCUACUUCAGGUAAGAGGGUCUGUAUGGAAGAUAAAGAGUGAAAAUUUGUUUUGAAUUUAGUAAAAAAUGAGUAGAUUAUUCAGAUCUAACUCCUCAGCUAGUCACCGGUCAACUUUGCCACCAGUACCAGACUUAGUUAACCAGGAAGAACAUAGUUAUGAAAAUAUCAAUCAAGUGUUACACAACUAGAAUAUACCCAGAGUUUCCCCAAAAGAAAUUUAUCAGUCAACCUUUUUAGAUAAUUUUAAAACUGAUUAUAAUGUUAAAACAGUUGAAAAAGUUUAUGCAAUUAAUAAAGAAUAUGAAAAUUGUAGUCUUCUUUCCCCAGAUGUUAUUAAAAAACAUAGGAAGAAGGGUUAUAAUUUUAUUCAUAUAGGUUUAGUUCAAGUAGCUGUCAAGCCAUUGAACAUUAAAGGAAUUAAUUCAAGUAUCUACCUCUGUCUCAGAGAUGCUAGAUUUUUGAAUUACUAUCCCAGCAUGAUUGGUGCUAUGGAGUCAAGUUUGAACAAUGGUCCGAUCCAUUUCAAUUACUUUCCUGACUGCACACUUAGUCUAAGUGACCAGCACUUAUUAAAAGCUUUAACAUUGAAUAUUAAAACUGCAGAAGAAAUUACACAUAUGAUUGAAGGCUCUCAGCCUAUUGCUUUGAUUUAUAGGAUUUAUUACAAGACCAUGAAAACUAACUUAAAUGUUCAUGCUCUAAAUAAAAUCCCUAAAGAUCAAACAGUUUUAAUUCAAAGUUCAACUAGUGAUGCUAAUAUCCAGAUCCCGAGAACCAUCCUCUGGAAGGAUAUUACGUUACCCAGUCAAUGGACUUUACCCAGUGAAAUACCACAACAACCUGUAGUUAAUAACUUAAUGAACAUUGAAAAUGUUAAACAAUUUUAUGAUGGAACUGUCAAAGUAAGCUUUGAACGUUCUAGAAGACCAGUCAUCAUAGAAGAUUACUCUAGUUCUUCUGCCCCUUCAGUGGUUCAAACCCGAAGAGAUAUUGAAGUCCUUAGUAACCCUUCUAUUGGAGAUAUUAAAAUGAAAGGAAUUUUAAAUCAAGGGUCAGACGAGUCAUCCUUUUUACACUCAGAGUUACCCAGUUGAAGAAGAAGGUUCUUCCUCUCCAACUCCUUCUGAGCUCCAGACUCAGUCAGAUUUUGAUAUCCCUAUUAAUAAUCAACUAAGAGUUAUUAAAAAAGAAUUCAAAUUAGAUUGGGACAAUCUUGUGCAAGAUUUUAAUUCCAAGUCUAAUAAAGAAAAAAGACAUUUAUUCAGAUCUAAUCACCCAACAGAAAAAGAACGUGAUAAGAUAGUUAAUAAAUGGAAAAGAUUUAUUAAUAAUGAAAAAAUAAACAUUACUUUUUAUGAUUGGUAUGAACAAUAUCAAAGUAAAUGUAAUGUUAUUACUAAAACACAAUGGAUUAAAGAAGAUAAGUCUAAGGUCUCUUUUAGUCAUCCACCCUUAGAAAUUGUCCUAAUUUCAGUUAAAAAUACUUCUGUUAUUGCCAGUCCCUUUAAAAUCUCAGACGGUAAUAAAGAUGAUAAAAAGAUUAUUGAACAGUUGAAAAUACUUCUGUUAUGAAGGGUGGACUAAAGUAAGCUAGAUGACUUCUAAUUAAGAAUAAAAGAUGAAUUUUGAAAAUAGUAUAGAUGAACAGAUUACUGAAGAUUUAACUAACAACUAGAAACAAACAAACUUGGCUCUGAUAUAUAAAUAUAUAUAUAUAUAUAUAUAUAUAUAUGUAAGUGUCUAUCCACAACUAAAGUUUUAAAAAAGUGUCUAUCUUUACAACAAAUCAUGAUCGUACAUCGGGAUAUCUAACGACCUAUAUUAUUCUCGUUCACAGUUUAAUUUUUAAUAUUCCGUAGUUUAAUACUGCGGACAAGACAAAUGACCAAAAUACCCCUCCUUGAAAAAUCCUCUCGUCCGCAAUAUUAAACUGCGGACUCUAACUCCUAUAUGAUACGAGACAACGUCGUUUCAGUCUUAUAGUCAAAAUCUCUCGUCUGCAGUUUAAUACUGCGGACGCUAGGUCCAACCCAAAAUGUUUCAGUUUUAAUUCUAUAGGCUCCGCAAUUUAAUACUGCGGAUGCUAAAUGUGAAUUUUUUUCACAAGUCCCUGGAUGGUUCUUACAGGUUUCGCAGUAUUAAAUUGCGGGUGCCAAUUUUUUUUUUAAACAAUACAAUAUGUAUUUAGGUUGUUCCACUACAAGAAAAUGCAUAUUUUUGACAGAAUAUUCUGUCGAGGUUAAGGAUAUUCAGUCGAUCAUACCUUAACCACGACGGAAUAUUCAAUUAGAAAUGCGGUUGGAUAUAGACGCGUCAGAAUUUAGACCGUCGAGAUUUCAGUCGAUCUUAUUAAAUCUCGACGGAGGUAACCUCGAUGGAUUAUUCAGUUGGCCUUAAUGCAUUAUCGACGGAUGUAUGUUUCCUCGGAGUUUAUCUGUCGAAGUUAUUAUGACACGUGGCAUCAUUACUGACAUCUGGUGCCACUCGACGGAUUUUCAGUCCGGGUUACCUUAUUCCGUAGAGAAUAAGGACUUUUUUUGAAUGGUUUUUUUGUUUUUGCAAUACACAGGGUUUUAACCCACGUUUAGCCUAUUCACAAAAAUAACCUGUAAAUUUCAACAGACUUGUAAACCAAAAAACACAUACAACAUAUAUGACAAUACAUGUAAACCUGUUUACGUUCCCAACAUCAUAUACAACAUAACUAUAACUAUCCAACAACAUAUAAUAACUAAUUUUUGUUCACAUACAAGUCCAAUAUGAAUUACCAAGGUCAAUAAUAAUAAAAAUACUCUAAUGUUCCAUAAGACAUACAAAAAUGCCAUGUAAUUACAAGGUUUAAACUAAAAUACGUCAAACAUCAACUAAACUAAUAAAAUUUACAUCCCAUUAAGCUAAACUAAAGUAAAUAUGAAUAAAAUAUGUAUAAACCGUCUACAAAACUAAGUCAUCCAAGUAGUACUAUCCCCGAUUUGAGGAGGAUCAUCGGUGGGCGUCGAUGCUGCUGCUCUAGCGUAUGAAAAUCGUUGUCGACGUCGUCCCUCUGCUCGUGAUUGGACCCUCUUCGCCAUCUCGCUUGGCAUUUUCACCUUGUUGAUACAAUUAAAAACAUAACUCCUUAGUCCAUAUGAUACAACUAAAGAUGCAAAUAAAUGAAAAUUAAAUAACAUGCAGAAUACGAGAAUAUAAAAUGAAUAGUAUACCUGAGUAGUCAAGGGCUGACUCAACAUCGACCCUAAAGCGUCCAAGAGUAAGGUAACCACCAUCCGAACCACCUCGUCACGUAUCACGGUGAACUGCUUCGGAGGGAUACCCGUACUCUCAGCGGUGGCACCAGCUGCGAUUUCCUGAGCAAGCUGGUGGAGGCGAGCACGGCUAGGCAGGUCCUGAUGAUGGAAUAAAGGAUCCGUACCAAACCUCUCCGACACCGCCGCCAUAACCCUCUAGAAACAUAACAUCUAAGCCAGUGCUCGUACAUGAUGGUCCCACGGGGGCUCUCAGAAGCAUACGCUUGCUAGGGCCUGCAAAAAUAAAUAUAAUAUGAAUAAUAAUCAAAAUAACUUUAUUCAUAAACGAGAAAUUUAUACUAAAAUACUAUACCUCCAGGUAGUGUAUAGGCUGGUAUCUUUGGCAACCCCAGCACUCGAUACCGACUGGUAGUGCUACUGGGAGGAUCCUGAGACGCGACCCAAAGAGUCAUCUACUCAUCCUGAAAGAAACUAAUUUCACGUGGAGGGAUAUGGAAUUUAACGUUUCGGGAUCGUCCCUAGCAGCUUGGAACUCAUCUACACGCGUGGCCCGGAGUUUGUCAAAUUGGUCCUGUAAUUUAAUAUAUGUACAUGUGAGUUAACUCGACAUCAUCAUAUUAAUUACGUAAUAUGAUCCUAAAUUAUAAUCAAUAUAGUAAAUGUAUUAACCGUAUAGCUAAUGCUGCGGGAGACAUCGUCAACGAUGAAGUCGCUGCCUUCGGCGUAUGGACUCUAUCCCAAAAUUUGAUCAUAGUAGGAGGUCAACCCAAGCUGCUCCGCAUGGCCUAAAUCAUAUAUUAAUUAAUAUCACAUUAAUUUACUAUAAAUGCAGUUUAAUAUUAAACUAAACUAAAUAUAAAUACAUACCGACUUAAUCUCCUGAAACAACUACGAGCCAGAAGUAUGUACAAUCCGGAGUUGUCCUCAAUUCUUCUUCAUCUACUCGAAUUUUGUCUUAAAGGCAUCAGCAUCCCAUUACAUGCAAACGACAACCCAUGUUCUAUCUAAGACUAUCUACGGCUGAUGAUCUCGUAUAGUAGUCCCGAGCUGCUCCUGAACUGCAUGGGCUGCCCUCUGCUGCAUUUCGUACAUCCAGUUGACAUAGUUCUUCGUGAUGUGUGCAAUAAUAACAUCAUCACCGACUGCCUCAGAGAUGCCAUCUACAUAUCCAUAAUAUGUCUAUCAAAAUUCAUAACGUAUGUAUCAGUAAAAAUUUGAUUCUGAUUGUAAAUAACUAUUAUCAACUUUUUGGCAGUAAAUAACUAUUUGAAUUACGUGAAACUCGUACAACACUGUCACCAUAAAGGAGGCAUCACACUGUGCGUACUGGUUAAAUUAUAUGAAGCCAGUUGGGAGAUGCGUCAGGCAUAUGGCGUGUACGGUCAUCUUAGCGACAAGGUCCAAAAUACUAAAAUAACCAAAAAAUUUUAUGGAUUAUUUUAAUUGUGCAAUCACAUAAUUAAAUCAUUUUAAUUGAACAUGAUAUAUAAUAGUUGAGAAUUACUGCGACGAGCCGACAUCAACUUGAACGGUGUGUGGAACUGCCGGCUGACGUCCUAGUAAACCAAGGUUAGGCCCUCGGUGACGCCGACGUCCAAUAUUUGUAGGUAUAAUGAAGUUAUGACAUUGUGAAAAAAAAUAUAACUUGAACUUUUUUUUGAAACUAUAAAAAAGUAAUCAACUCACUAGAUGAAGACGACUCGUCCUAGGAGCUGUCGCCCGAUCCUGUACGGCCGCCACCACGACAACCUCCACCGCUAUCUCUAGCCAUAAAUAUACUACAGAAAUAACCAAAAUUAACUUAAUAAAUUGUAGUUACUUUAUUAUGACUUACGUUUUAUAAGUAAAAGAAUUUCAAAACAAAAAGUAGUUAAGACUUAGUACGUCGUCAAACCCCUCAGAAUCAAAAUCAGUUUCAUCCUCUGAUUGUGUCUCCACCUUUUGCGUAUCAAUAUCUUCGUCGGUAUCAUCUUGUACAACCACUUCUUCCUCGACCUCGUCAACAUCGGGUACGUCAACGACAUCAUCUAACAUCACAUCGUCAUCAUUUAGCACUACGGGACUGGGAUUGCUAACUUGUUCUUGCAAUGGAUCAUCCAUUCCAGAAAGAUUAGUACCAUCAAAUGCCUAAGUCUUCACUGUGACAAAUGUAUACCAGGUGGUUCUAUAAUUUGCGACAUUAAGGGCGUAUACACUUGAGUUACUUGGAUGAUUAAGACGAAUAUGUCAUCAGACUGUAAAUUUGACUUUAUAUCUAUUGUGACGAUUCUAUUACGAUCAACUUUAACACCCUUUGCAGUAUCAAACCAACGACACUUAAAUGUAACGACCAUUUUACCCCUGGAUAAUUGAGCACAACAACUUCCUCUAAUCUUCUAUAGUAAUUGGACUCAAAAUCUUGGUAACAGCUUCCCAACACGACAUCGCCAAAGUUGACUGAUGUCAAUUCAUUCAAGUCGUUAACCUUGAAUCUAUACCCAUUAACGAUGCAGCCUGAAAAUGAACUAAUACAUUUGUAUGGACCUGAAAUAACAUCUCUAAAAUGCUCAGAAGCAUUAUCUUCUUCAACCCUUCUUUUAAACCACUGUUGAAAGUUUUCAGUAGUAAAUGCUUCCAACUUUUCUAUAGUUAGUCCUGGGUUAGAGGCAUACACUUCUGCUUCAAAUGAACUACAAUAACAAUAUGUUCUUUAACAAUUGAUUACGCUUCUAAAUAUUAUAGCUUGCACACAUAAUAAUACAUACUUGAUAUAAGUGGAUACUUCGGGCAUAUUUAGAAUACGUAUGUAGAUACAAUCUUCAAAUCUUUAUCGGUUAGGUAAGUCUUUGUCUCAUAUCCAAAUGGUUUAGCUGGAUAAAUAAAUACAACUAACUCAUUAGCACGAGAUUGGGGUCCGACGACCUCAUUCCGAAUUAAAAGGUUAUGUUUCGUUGAGACUACAUCGUCAAAGUACAAAGAGAAAAAUUUGACAAGCUCUUCCUCCGUAUGACGUUCAGUAAUAGAACCCUCUACACGAGCUUUAUUUUUCACUUUUUGUUUUAAUUGACGCAUAUACCUGAAAUACGGUUAGGCAUCGACGUAAUUAAUUAAGAAUUUCACUUAUAAAAGUAAUCAGAAUUGCACAAUGUAAGUGAUAUUUCCUUUCAAAAGGAUACAUCCACCGAUAUUGCGCCGGUCCUCCAAGCUUAAGUUCACAUAGAAGAUGAAUAGGCAAAUGUUCCAUCGAGUCAAAGAACCUCGGUGGUAAAAUUAUUUCGAGCUUGCACAUUGUCAACACUAUAUUUUUCUCCAUCUGCUCCACAUCACUGUACCUUAUAACUAUUGAGCAAUGAUCCCAAAAUAAAUUUGAAAGUGCGAUCAAGGCAUCAACAAAAUUCCUCGAUAGCAUCUCACGAAAUAUAAUUGGCAUCAACUUCUGCAUGAACUCAUGACAAUCGUGACUUUUGAAUCCAGUAAUUUUCAACUGCUCAACUUUACCUCAGCGAGAUAUGUUAGAAGCAUAUCCAUCUAGGAGCUUCAAUGCACUUAACCACUUUCAAAUGUCUUCAACCUAUUGUUUGGUAAGACAAAAUGGAGCUUUUGGUUUUGAGUUGUUUGGUCGGAGCCACAAUUCCCGCAUGAUGUUCAUUGCCUCCAAGUCCUUACGUGUUUUAUCAUUGUCUUUUGUUUUACCACUCUCAUCUAGAACGGUUUAAAACAAGUUCUCAAAUACAUUCUUUUCUUUAUGCAUGACAUCUAUACAAUGACGAAGUGAUAGUGUGACCCAAUAUGGCAACUUAAACCAAAUGGGAGAGUUUGUACAAUUAUUAGUUUUCCUGUACCUUAUUGCUCUCAACUUACCAUGCUCGUUCCUCGGCGGUUGAAAUUUUAGAUGAUUUAGCCAGCCCAAUAUCUCGCUGCCCGACAAGCGACGAACAACCCCCUUUUUCUCUGUCUUUCUGUUGAACUGUGUAGACAUCUUUUUAUAAUUGUGUUCGACAAGCAAAAAUCUAUGAGCAGUUCCAAAGAAACUAGUUUUUCGCCCAUGACAUAGUUGUGUGCCUUGCACAUCCCCCAUAUAGACUUGACAUGACAUCUUCCCGCUAGUUGACCAACCACUGAUCAUCCCAAGUGCCGGAAAGUCAGUAAUAGCCCACAACAAUGUUGCCUUCAUAAACAAAUUCUACUCGACAGCUUUAUCAUAAGUCUGAACACCUGAUACCCACAACAUCUUAAGUUCAUCGACUAACGACCUUAUGUUAACCUACAAAUAUAUUAACCGGUUAAUUAGUUUCUCUUCUUUGUUCAUUCCUAUAUAGUUCAUUAUAUUUUAUGAACUUUUUAUUUUAAAAGAAUAAAAGCUAUAAUAGUUUUAAGUAUUAAGCUUAAGUGGGGAAGGAGAACUGAUAAAUGUCCCAAAAUGCGGUUGAAGGGACGAAUUAUGGAGAAAGCCAAGGCAGUUCAUGCUUUCUUCACAAUGAAUUGGGUGAUAAGUUAGUACCAUGCCGAUGCCAACUUAAGUUGUUCCUGCACCUUGCAACUUUUAUCGAACAACCCCUAGCCAGCUCAACUAAGGCGAUCUAACAUCUUAAUAGAAUGAUAUAUGUACUAUAAAAUGUAUAAUUGUAAUUGAUUAUAACUAUUGAGUUUAUUGAGGAUAAUGUCAAACUAAACGAUCUAUUGAGUGUAUUGAAUAUUGAAGAGAGAGUAUUAUUGAGUUUAUUGAAGAUUGUGCAAACUAAGCAAAUGCUACUUAGUUUACUAAAGUUUCUCACAAGUGUACUACAUGUGUCAAACAUAUUUAGUUUACUUUAGUUGUGGAAAACUAAGCAAAUAUUACUUAGUUUAGUAAAGGUCAUAAGUAUUUACAUGUGUCAAACAUAUUCAGAUAUAAUUUAGUUGUGGAACACUAAGCAAAUACUACUUAGUAUUUUUUUAUUUUUUUAUGUUAUUUUAUUUGUUUUCUUUUUCUUUUCUUUUAUUUUUAUUUUUGUUUUGUUUUGUUUUAUUUUAUAGUAAUUUAUUUUAUGUUAAAUUAUUUUAUUAUUUUAUUUUAUUUUUAUUUAUUUUAUUUUAUUGUAAUUUAUUUCAUUUUAUUUUAUUUUGUAUUGCUAUACUGUAUUUUAUAUUGUAUUAUUUUAUCUACAAUUUAUUUAAGGUAAAUUAAAUUAUUUUAAUUUAAUUUAUUUGAUUGUAUUAUAUUAUUUAAUUUAAUUUAAUUACAGUAAAUUAAAUUAUUUUAUUUUAUCUUAAUUAUGUUAUUUUAUUUUAUUAUUUUAUAUUAUCUUAUCAUACAAAAUAUAAUUUAAAUUUAGUUUAUCUUAUAAUAUUAUUUAUUUUUUAGUAAUUUGAAACUAAGUAAAUGAUACUUAAGUUCAUUUUCAGUUGAUUUUAUUAGUAGGAAAUUAAGUACAUGCUACUUAGUAUAUUUCAAUAUUGGAAACUAAUUAAAAUACAUAAAUAAAAUAAAGCAGGGCCCACGGAUUUUGAAAUUGAAGAAUUCUGACAGAAAUUCUGUCGGGAAUUCCGUCGGAAAUAACAAAUAUACCAAGAUUUCAUAAUACCAUUACAAAUAUUAACCAACAGGUGUAUAUAAUUCAACAAUACAACUCAAUACAUGACUAACAUCAGCUUCAAUCAAAUUAUGAACAUGCAAAUUACACAAAUUAAACCUAACGUGAAUCAAUUAUUAGAUUCAUGGCUAAAAUCAGUAACAUAUAAUUGUUAUUGCACAAGUAUAACAUAAAAUUCAGACUAACAUCAACUGCUAAUCAAACCUAAAUAUCCAAGCUGCUAAUUAAAUUCAUAAUACAUAAGAACUCCUCAUCAAUUAACAAAAUUGAUCAUAUAUAUGGGAAAAAAUACAAAAUCAAAACAGGUAACAUUAGAGGAAAAAUUAAGCCAAAAAUUAUCAAUAAUUUUGGGGUCGGGGACUGAUCAUAAAUUAGGGCACAAUAAUACUAACCUUAAUCGUGCUUAAGCUAACCUUAAAUCCUUAAGCUGCAGAAAAAUGGAGGAGGAGGAGGAGGAGGACAUGAGCCGCCACAAAAUUGGACACCCACCACAGCGUCGCCACGACCUUCGGUCAGUAAAAAAGGAGGAGGAUGAGGAGGACGACCGAACGCGAGGGAAGGACCGGAUGGGAAGGAGUUCAAGAGAUAUGAGGAGAGAGAGAGAGAGAGAGAAAUAUAAAAAAAAUUAGGCGGCUAAGAAGACGCAGUCUGAUUAGGUUUUAUAAGUUAAUGUUCGUCGAAAAUAAGUCCCUCGAAAUUAUAUUAUCCUUGACGGAUAUUCUCUAAAAAAUUAUCACCAUUCAGUCGACAUUAGGUUUCGCACUAGCGGUAGGCUUCACGCCAAAGAGGACCUUCUAUUUCUGACAAAAUUUUGUCGUAAUUAUAUUAUUCUCGAGUGACCUAUUAUCGACGAAUUAUUCUGUCAAUAAUACACUAUUUACGACGGACCGUCGAGGAUAAUUCCGUCGAUUUUAACCCUUUUUUCUUGUAGUGUUCCCCAUAUAUGCUUUUAAAAUGUAAACCAAAUAUCACAACCAACAACGAAUAAUGAUGAAUAGUCAGACAAACUACAUAGAUCACACCCAACAAUAAAUCCAUAAAAAAUAUUUGCAUACUAUAUAAAUCAAUUUAUAAACAUCAUCUACACCGUCCAAACCACAGUGCAAUCCGUAGUAUUAAACUAUGGAUGCCAAUUGUUUUUUAAACAAUACAAUAUGGAUUUAGGUUGUUCCCCUGUAUGCUUUUAAACUGUAAACCAAAUAUUACAACCAAUAACAUAUAAUGAAGAAUAAUCACACAAACUACAUAGAUCACACCCAACAACUAAUCCAUAAAAAAUAUUCACAUAUAAAUUAAUUUACAGACAUCAUCUGCAAUAUCCAAACCACAGUGUUAAUCAAAUAUUACAUGUUAACAAUGUAGAAAUUAAGAUAUAUGUGUGACUUUACUAGUCAUAAGUGUAAAUGUCAUAUCUCUAGCCAUAUGGUUAUUCAUGGGCAAUUCUAUACCUUAAAAAUGAGAUAUCUUCUUCAAAUCAGUCGACCUCUCCUAAAGACAUUCUUUAGACAAUGUAGUCCAUGUACUUCAUUGCGUAGACUCCACUAUUCAAAAGAUUCUUUUGUUUAAGUCAGACUGCCUAGCUUAAAUGGCCAGGCCAUCUUUUUCUUCGGGAAGUUCUUCUCAGGGUUGUAAAUGCAUUGGCUAAAAACUUAUGAUGCAUGAAUAUAUGUAAUAUGUAUGUUAUAUGAUGCAUGAAAGGUGUAGACUGUUGAACUUGCUGAGACAUCAUGCUCAGCCUUGCAAAAUUUUUUUGCAGAUAAAGGUUAAUACAAAUAAAAGACCAUAGCAUCAAAAACUUCAGAAUAGACAAAAGUUCACAAGAAGGAAUUGUUAUGGAAGAUGUUUGGUGUUUUAAUAAAAACAAGCACAUUGGUGUAAUCCUGUUUGAGUAAUUAUACUCGGCAAAAUGUUAAACGCUAGAACACUUGUAUGCGUAGUCUUUAAUUAUGUUAGAUGGGCAUUAUUAUUAAUAUAUUAUAGAUGUUGAGUUGAAGAACACUGCACAGAAGAAUAUUUAAAUUUGAAUUAAGAGUUAAUGAAUACUUGGAAGUUAAU